GGUGCAAAGAGUCUUUCUUUUGGUUUGGUUUGGCUUGGGAAUUUUCCUACAACAAUACAACUGAACUUUAAUACCUGCACAACAGAGAAAGAUCCGGUGUCGAAAGAUUUUGGCUUUGCAGUGGCGCGAAGGAGGUCCCAAUCACCUGCUUGCAUGUCAUCAAUGCCCACCCUAAGUGCAACCCUCAGUCAGAGGUUAUAUGUGUACUCCACACCCCAUGUCAGAAGAGGCCCAGACCUUCUAUGUUUGGUGGACUCUUCUCCACAUCCUUGGAAUAAAGGCUACUGUUACUUUAUAUUUUUUCUUUCUUUCCUCACACCAAAAACUCUACCAUUUGGUUCCCUGACCGGCAAGGCAGUGUGAGUGACUCCUGGGGACCUCCCACUUUGAGUCCCCUGCCGAUUCAUGGACUGGACCAUAUCUUGGAUUAAUUCCUCAUUUUUCAACAUGCGGGAGCUGCUUGUCAUCACCAGCCUGCAAACAAUAGCAGCCUGUCUCAUUUACCACAGGAGAUCCCAUCACUGCCAGAUUCAUUGCUGACUGAUCUACUUGGACUUGCUGCUGAAGAUAGAUGGGGUUUGGGGUCCACAGCCCCCACUAAGAUAUCCUUCUCAGAGCCCCAAGUCUCACUGGAGGUCUCAGAUGAAUACUUUGCUAAGAAAAAUUAAGUAAAUGAAUCUUGAUUGUUUUGAUUCCUACUAACUCAUUGAUCAAAUACAUCAGAAGAGUACAGACGCAUAAAUUAAGGAGACAUGCUGACCAAGAGCCAAAGUGGGGAAAGGAGAUGCUUACUAUCUUGAGGAUACUUUCGGUAUACCAUUUAAAGCAAAUUAAAGAUCCAAAGCACUUCCUGCUGUAAGUGCAAGUCAGAAAUAUUUGAAAAAUACAUUCACAGAGCCAUUUGGCUCCCAAGACUGAGUUCAACUGGGAUGGAGGAGUGAUGGCCUCACAGCGGCAAGGAAGUUCAGUGGCUGAGGAUACAGCCAUCUAGGAGAAGCUACAGAAAGAUACAAAAUGUAAAGCUUCCAACUACUUCAUCUUUAAUGAAAUCCUUAUCACUGCAACAGGAUGGGCAGGCAACUCAAGACACUUGGAGUCAAACUCAUUGAACUUGGUCUUGAUGUGCAAGUUUGGCUAGAUAAUCUUAGGCAAAAUUAUCUGUUUACUCUCUUUGAUCCACUGUUUUACUAUCUGUAUUAAAAAGUAUCAUAACA